UACGGAAGGGGGCUAGCGUUGCUCGGAAUCACUGGGCGUAAAGGGUGCGUAGGCGGGUCUUUAAGUCAGGGGUGAAAUCCUGGAGCUCAACUCCAGAACUGCCUUUGAUACUGAAGAUCUUGAGUUCGGGAGAGGUGAGUGGAACUGCGAGUGUAGAGGUGAAAUUCGUAGAUAUUCGCAAGAACACCAGUGGCGAAGGCGGCUCACUGGCCCGAUACUGACGCUGAGGCACGAAAGCGUGGGGAGCAAACAGGG
rnacentral:rRNA from 1 species